UACAGAGGGUGCAAGCGUUAAUCGGAAUUACUGGGCGUAAAGCGUGCGUAGACGGUUACAUGAGUCGGGUGUGAAAGCCCCGGGCUCAACCUGGGAAUUGCAUUCGAGACUGCGUAGCUAGGGUGCGGAAGAGGGAAGCGGAAUUUCCGGUGUAGCGGUGAAAUGCGUAGAUAUCGGAAGGAACACCAGUGGCGAAAGCGGCUUCCUGGUCCAGCACCGACGUUCAGGCACGAAAGCGUGGGGAGCAAACAGG
rnacentral:rRNA from 1 species